UUUUGUGUUUGAUAAAUCUCUGAACUGCCCAAGUUCUGCAUUUGGGUCCUUCCCCUGUGUUUUGCUUGCACCCGUCGUAACUGCGUCUUGACAGGUUAAUGUUUGAUGUGCUGGACUGGGAGAACAUGGCCCAGUUGGUACUAACUCACAUCAGUAACCAAUUAAAGAUUUUAUGAGGUAGACUGCACAUUUUGAUUAUUAUAAUUUUGUUGUAACCUCACGUAAAAUGACGGGAACAAUUUACUUAUGUUUUCUGUCGGGGGGGGGGGGACUCAAAAUUCCCAUGAAAUGCAUUCUCACACAAAAGAUUAACCUUAACCACUUGAUUGGAACAUUUUGUGGUGUUGUUUUUUUAAAGACACUUCUCUGAAUCAUACCUCCAGACUGAAAUGUCUCGUCGACUGUUGGAAUGAUUACCAAGUUUUGUUCUGACUUUCAGUAUAGUGUUACAGCUGUACAAAGUAAAUGUGGGAUCACAAACAAGAUUUAGACUCUUAAAGGGCUAGUGGGAUCUGAUUUCUGACAUGGUCAAAUACAUUUAUAUGGAGUUAAAAUUGGUUUAUUCAGCGGACAAAAAAAAGACUUACGAGCGAUGUAUGUGAUUUCACACGCGCAGAUAUUAACCAUCGCAAACAGAUUUAAAUCCCUUGAGGCUCAAGAGGAUCUGCUCUCGCUCGCGGGAGAUGCAGCUUCGCUGCUCGAGGGUUAUUUCUGCGCUCGCGGUGCACAUUAUACACUUGCGCGACAGGGAGCUUCCACUCGCUCGUUGAGUGCUUUCUACUCUCGCGGGGAAAGAUUUUGACACUUUGGGGCCGGAGCCACUGGACUUUGAUUGACAGCUCUUAGGGAGCCUGGAGUUGCCAGGUUGGAGUUUCACGUAGGUAGGCUACUGUUGGCAAGACAACAGACAGUGGCUGCAUCGGCAGGACGAGUCAACGAAUGGGAACAAGAACGCACAGUGCUGGAUACGCGUUGCGUUCAGUGUUGAUACCUGUUGAAUCAAAAGCUGAUCAGCGCUGAGGAGCAGCAGCAGUAAAAACGUUGUCAACCGGGACAAUGAUUGCGCAGCCGACCCAGACUCCCCAUUAUCAACCAAGAAAGAUCAACCGCCAACUGAGAUCCUUUAGAAAAUAGUACCUCAAGUACCUGCACUUUUUUGGAAACAUCACAGACUAACAGCUUAGGGAUAUGCGGAGAUGACAGGGCCAUCAUAUGCUGUUCCCAAGAAACAGCCCAUGUACUAGUCAGAAUCCGGGAACUUCACAAGGUUCAGGAUCCACUGGGGCUGAUGAAUCAUUGACGUGAUGAUCACAUGGUGUGAUUCACAAAGAAGACUCUUAGGUAGGAAGGUGAUGCUGUUCACUCUACUACUGCCCACAUGCUGCUGUCAAAAAUCGAUUUUGUAAUUGAAAAAGACAAGAAGAAUCUUGUCUAAACCCAGCGUGGCCCAAGACCAGGCCUGAGUGUGGGUAACAAGCUUUAGGAGCUAUGAUACUCCAGAAGCUUCUGACAGAACCCUUACUUGUUUUUUGUCAAGCCAAUGUGUCCCAAGAAUGCAGGUUAGAUCUCUCAGAUGUCCUCCAUUCCAAGGGAGAGAUUUGAGCUAGCAGGGGUUGUGCUAGAGAUGAGAGACGAUGUCCUACAGCAGAUGUUUACAGAAAAGUGCAAGGUAGAAACUUUACCUGUUAAAUGUUGGUGUAAUAGACAACUUACAAUUUCCUGUUAUCCUAGGUCAGUGGUUCCUGAACUCUCAGACACAUUAGAGUACACGAUAGCGCAUUGAUUUCCAAUUGUCAUGAAGUAUAGCCGUUGCUAAUCUGGUUGACUCAGCUUGUACCGCCAGUGGCCAAACAGAUAAGUAAUCAGCGUGCAAAUCACCCACUGUGGUAGGAUUUUUGGUCAAAUAAGAGUGGCGUGGUGCAGUUGAAUCAUGCUGGGCCCUUAACCCAGAGGACAAUGGAUUGGAACCAUCACAGGCAGAGGCGCCGCUUGCCAGCAGGCAAGGCAGGCGACUGCUUGGGGCCCCCAGGUCAGUAGGGGGCCCCCGAGGGCUGACAAACUUCAUUCGCAUGCGCAUUGUCACUGCUGUAGUAGUUUUGCAGCAUAAGCUGCAACGAUUUGCAGAUAAAUCCACACAUAAUUGCCAUUGUUUUCCAUCCAUGCAUCGUUUUUCUGUUAGUACCAAGAUAUCCACUGAAAGUAAAAUAAAGAUCCCUUUUACCACAGGCGCAGUUUGCGUUGGUUCAGGGGGCUCACUGAACCCUUUAGUGGCCAUAGCCCAAAAUAUAUUUGGGGAUAUUAUCAAAAAACUGCCCCAUGUAAAGUGUUCCAUUUUAGAUUUUUUUCUUAGAAGGGCUUGCCGGCUGAAGGCUCUGCCUCCCAUUAUACUCUUCCAAACUCUGAGAACCACAAGUAGUCCUGGGUUUACAGAGCCAAGUGAUCUAUUGGCAAAAUAUGGAACUAUGAGCUCUGUAAUAUAACAUGGAGCUUGAUUAUUAAGGGCUUUGUAGGUGAGGAGCAGGAUUGUGAAUUCUAUUCUGAAGUUUCCGGGAAGCCAAUGCAGAGAUGCUAACACUGGAGAAAUAUGAUCUCUUUUCAUAGUUCCUGUCAGAACUCAAGUACAAUGUCCUCGGUGUUGUCUGAAUUGAGAAGUACAUCAAAUGGUUUGAGUAUAUUAGGGUAUUAUUGUAUGUAUAAUUUAGUUUUGUAAUGUUUUUUUAUUAUAUUUCCAGUAACUACAAAAAGGCGAAACACUAACUGAACUUUGGACAAAUCUCCCAACUAACAGCUAACUACAGCUAAAAUAAGAGGCCUAUAUCAAGUGAAAGCCAGCUUGUGAGAUGGAAGUGGCCGGCCUAAACUAAAAUUAAUGGUAAAUUCUUAUAAAUUUUAACAAACUGAAAAUUUGUUAUUCAGUUUGUCACUCUCUCCAUUGAUUGAUUUGUUGGCCAAACCACGGAAGCAUGACGAGCUGUAAACACCUUGUUUCUAGUUUAGUAGGUAUAUGUUUAAUCACUCUCUGGCAAACAUCCUGGGACUUAACUUAAAAAUUUUGAUCUAACUUCAACACAUGAUACAUCUACAUGUUACAAUAUUUCCCUCUGAAAUGUAGUGGAGUGGAAGUAUAAAGUACCAGAAAAUACCAUGUUACCAUGUACUAUGUUACAGGCAAAGUCUGUUGAAGAACCUCAGAAACUUCCGCUGUUCCUACUAUUUUAGUUUUCUGUGAACUUGGACUUUUUCAAGUUUAUUGAAAUAAAAAUGGCCAUACUUUGUUGUUUACUCCACCAUUUGAUAUUAUACAGUUACACGGUAACUGACUGUGAAACACCAAGAAAAACAACAAACAAGUCCAUCACCUCCAGGAUAGUCCUAAAGGUACACAAUGGUAAAAUCAUCCAAAAGUACUUAAUCUUCCAGUUACAGUUGCUUGUGAUUCCCAGGCAGCCCAAUUAAAGGUAAUCAGUUAAUUAAAUCCCUGCAGCCGUCGGCAGGCAAAGGACACGUGAUAAAUCUGCAGCAUCUGAGUUAAACCACUCUCACAUUGUCUGAACAAAUAUACUGAACAACUAAGGGUUAAUUUGCAGGGUUGAUUGCUUAUGUAGCCUCAUAACUAUCCCAAAUAUAUGUGUUUGUGCGUGUGUGAUAGGAAAUGUCUGUCAUUCUUUUCCGCCUCCAACUCUAUCAAGUUGUUUACAAAAUGUAAUGAAAUCAACAGAGAGAGGAAUCUGAUGCGUGACAUCUCAUCAGAAACGGGUGUACCGCAUCCCUGUCUCCAAAAACAUACAGACUCCAGAUAUUUGCAUCAGGCCCGUCAUCAUAUCGCUCGCUUUCAAAGUUCCCUUUGUACUAGUUUCUAUACAUACUCUAUUCUUCUGAAAGCUGCACUUGUGUGUCCCUGAACAACACUGUUUGGCUAGCUUACAAUGCUCGUCAUGUCAUGACCUUCCCCUCUUUAUUGACUCUAAGGUGAUGCUUUGAACCCUUUGGACUGUGAGCACUCUUUAUUAUUUGCCUUUUUUAUUUGAAUGUUGCCUGUAAAAAGUCGCCAUAGCAAUUCCCCAGAAACACACCUGACAAGUUUGAAGAAGAUUGGAAGAAGAUUUUUGAGAUAGGUGAAAUACACCCAAACAUACACACAGUUACAUUGCAUUAUAGUAUGAUUACAUAUUUCCUGUGCUCCUCAUUUGGGUCACGAAAUCAAAACAAAACAGUACAAACUGAACAGACAACUGACUCAGCAGACCUUUGCAACCUGCCAUUUUUCCUGCACGGAUGUGCCAAACAAAACAUUUAUUGGUGAUGAAACUGCCUUAAUCCGAAUUUUAAAGUUGCUUUGGGAGCGGGAUCCUGAAAAUGCCAGGCACAGCCUUAUUUCUGGUUGAAAUAAUGCUCCAAACCUGCUCCAUGUUCCUAUUUUUCUAAGCUUGUCCCCUCACCUAUCUGUCAAGUCAAGCUUGCGAGCCUACAGCUAGCCUCCCAGUCGACUAGCCUUUAGCCUGCUAGCCUCAGGUUCCUAAGCUGCCCAGCCCCACAGAGUCACAGUCAAAAUCAACACCAAGCCGGACCCAGAGCCAGACCUUGAGUUGGUCGUCCUCGCUACCAUCCUGUCUGCUCUAUCGUUUGCUGUCCCGGCCCUGCCCUCGCCCAUGCCCCUUGCCUUUUCCUUGGGAUCCCUAGCUCCAUUCUUUGGCUGUAACUUUGCAACUGUGGGCCUUAUAGAUAAAUGUUACAUCAACAUUACAACCUUCAACUGGUUUCAAUGUUGUGGCAGAUAGGUGUAUACGUUUACACAUUAGACCAGUUUUUGUAUAUCCCUUUACUCAUUAGACCAGUUUUUGUAUAUCCCUUUCACUAACCUUAUCUGCUAUAUAACGCCAUUAACAGUCCUUGAGAGCCUUGAUGCUGCCAGCUUCCCAUCCAUCAGAAGGUGGAAGGUGAUAGCUUGAAACUUGAGACAGAUAACAAUGUGCAGCACCAGUGUUCAACCCACAAGCAGUUAGUUUUAAUGUCUGCCAGAUAUGUCACUGAGAUGAGGAUGGGUGGCAAUAUCAAUUGGCUAACGUGUCUUGGAAAACAUUUACAAAUUACUGCAGCCAAUUAGCCAAAUUAAGCCCGCUUUGAAAGCCAAUCUGUUUUUGUAAUGCCAUCCUUCCCCAAGCCGUUGAUUUCAUGUAGUGUCAACAUUACUUUGUGGUGUGGUUAAAAGCAAAGACAGCAGUUGUAUUUCUUUUAUUCUCUAGUUUGAGGCCAGCCAUGAAAUGAUAGAUGAGAACCUCUCCAUAUAACCAAAACAUCUUCAUGUUGUCUUUGUUAAUGUGACUUGGGAAGCCAUUUUUUUACUAGAUGUGUCAGGGCCUGAAGAAAGUGAUUGGAUGAACCGGCUUUCUCCUGCCUGCGUGCACUCCGCUCGUUCACCACAGUCAGGCGCGUGACCAGUCUCUUGCACGACGUCGGCAAACAUGCUCCGGAGCUCCGCCGCCGGAACUACGGAGCUACAGUUAGCAGGCGAGUUGCUGCACUGAACUAAAUAAGAAAAGAGUUGCAGAAUGGCAGAGAAAAUGCCUACGACAGCUUCCGGUCGCAACAGACAGAGCAGCAGAGAUGACUACGGACACAAAGAGGUUGGAGACUACAGGAGGAGUGAACAGAGUAAACAUCGUGUGGUUCUUCACCACUGGCGUCAACUCCGGGAGGAGAAGAGGGUGAAAGCAGGUACAGCAAGUUGUACAUGAAGAAGUCCAGGACCUGGAGGUUGUCUGCCGCGGACCAGAGCAACGACCAGACGAUCCCUGUCAACAGCUAGAGAAGCAGGUCAGCAGAGAAACAGGACCACUGCCUAAGAGUCGACGACAGCACUGCAUGACCCGUCAGACCUGCUUUGACACUAGAGCUAGGAAAACCUGUGCAGACAGUUUCUUCAAUGUUGUACAUAUGUUGUUUAUGCUAAUAUUAUAAUAUAUAUUUGGUAUAUUGUAUGUU